ensembl:snoRNA
UCUUGUAUUUUUUAGGACCUGCUGGCAGUCUCUCUUCCUAGCCAUUGGUGAGUAUGUUUCUGUUUAUUGGCAAAACUAUCACUACUUAAAUGGUAUCAGAUUUUGUCUUGCACAACUAACUUUC